UUCGUUUUACGCUGACUUUCUUACAUAACACAGUCAAUUAUCAGUGACCAAAGUGUGCAGGUCAACGCAGCCAAUCUUUCCUUUGUUUUGACGCAAGCACAAAGUGUUGCGUUCUCUUUGAAAAGGUAUAUCGUAUCAGUGUUAAGCGAGCCACUAAAAGAAGCGUGGGGAAGGUACACUUCAUCACUGGCUACCUUUAACCUGUUGAGGGAUGCGUGGCCCGAGGUCCUGGGACCUUAUUACGAUUUGUGCUCGCAACUUUGCGGCAGGAUUUUGUGGACAAGCAUCCGGUAUGGGGAACUCACUUCCUGCCCGACUAAUCGAUGCAGGAUCAACUGGGGCUUACGGUUAUGACAUCGUUCCCUGCGUCCGCAGCAACCACUUUAUUCCACACCCGGGCAAACACAAUUCGGAUCGAAGUCUGUGGCUCCUGCUUCGCAAAAACCACGGCGAUUUCUUUUCCCCCAUACGCACAAGACGAAGGAAAAUCGGUGGAAUGGCGGUGGCACAUCGAGGUUGCGGGGGCUGUGGCAUGUAGAUUGUGUUUGCCAUUGCUGCAGCUCAAGUGUAAACAUCAUCUGGUGGCAAGGAUGUGGGGACGAGCUUCCCCAUAAAGCCGAGAAUGUCUGCACAGGGGAAAUUUACUUGAGAGCUUGAAAUUUAUAAAAGUUAUAA